AGAAAUGCUUCAGGAGUAAGAAAAGAUGUCUGCAGUGGAAGCAGAGGGUCAGAAUGAGCUACAGUCAUUGAUACGUUCCCUUGGAUUUGGAAAUGAACUUAAGUGGUAAAUUAGUACACAUGACCAACAGAGUCAGUGUAAAGCACAGCCAUUGAAAAGAAAGAGAUUUUUAGCAUUGUAGUCAUCACAUGCCUUAAUGGAGUGUAUACUUUAAAUACAGAUUUGAAUCACUGCUCUUUUAUCCCUCUAGAUGUCAAUUUCAAAGAAGUCCUUGGGCAUUGUUGACUUUCUGUCCGUAAAGAAAACCCACCAAGAUUCACCAAGUACAUCACCUGCAGCCACACGCGUAUACGUGUUUUAAAUGCCCAGGGGAUGUUGAACAAUUAGGCAGAGAACUGCACUGUGGUCUCUUCUCUUCACUGCUCCCCUCCAGCCCCCCAUUUUUUUUUCUCUUUUAGAAACUGUGAUACCUGAUCUCUGGAUCUAGCAGGGAUGAGGGGUUUUUUGUUUGGGGGGUUCUUUUUGGUUUUGUCUUUUUGUAUCUGUAUAAUACAAUGUCUGGCCUUCCCCCUGACCUGCUGGUGUAUUUUCGGUCUCAUUAGUAGUCAGAGAGAAACCCUAGUGCAUCCGGUGCUGGGAGUCAGGUCUGAGACACAGGACAACAGAGAGAGGGAGCGGGCGAAAGGAUAUUAGAAGAGAGGCUUGUCUCCAAGAUAUGGAAGGAAGUGAGAAAUGACAGGACUGCAAGCUUUGUACGGAGGAGCCUGGCAGGGAGGGGGGGAGCGGCGAGGAGCGCGAAGUGGGUUCUCAGAAGCCCUAGAAGAGCUAAAGGUGAUUAGAAGGGGAUAUUGAUUCCUUAUUCUGCCAGCGAUUUAAGCAGGCAUGCGAGGAAUCCGCACCAUGGUUGCAAAAGGAGACCCACUGCCUCCUGUAACCAGACACUCGGGCUUUCCAGGAGCCCAGCGAGAGCCGAGAAGAAAGGGGGCAGUGUGGUCUAGGAAAAUUCAACUUGUCGCUGAUUUGUGCCUGAUGCUCGCUGUCCGUCAGCAGCCUCCCUUACAAUCUUUUUUUCCUCUCUCUCCCCCCCCCUUUUUUUUCUUGCCUUCUCCUUCUUCACUGAAGCCUAGGGGAGCCAGUAAAGAUUAAAUGUGCUUUCUCAAAGGCAGCCACUUCAUGCUGCUAUGUCGAAAGGGCCAUUAUUAUUAUUAUUUUUUUAAUAGUAAAAGAAGAAGGGAGAGAGGUUGAGAGAGAGAGAGAGAAGCUAGGUAGGAUGAUGACGGACUAGCUUUUCCGAGAGGAAAAGGGAAGGGAGAGAAAAAGCAGAGACCCUGAACGGAGGAUUGUGCCUGAGGAGAACCUACAGAGGCGGCACUGGGAGCCGUCCCCGCACAGGAAAGCCCAGUUUCCAGGCAGAUGGGGGAAGCGCCGAUCUAGCAGGUACAGAACCAGUAGCUGUCUGCGAAGAUGGAGGGGAAUUAUGCUUCGGAUUCCUCCGAAAUAUUGGCAAAAGGCUUCAAAGGAUCCGCAGCGGGAGCGGGGCGGGGGAGAUGCGCCUCCCUGGCUGGCGCCCACCCCUUCCCACUCCCCUCGACCGAGUGACAGCCUGGUGCUGGCUCGGGGUGGUUUGGCCUUGGCUUCAGCCAAGCAGCUGAUGCACAGGAGGCCUGUUCGCAGGACUGGCAAAGUGCACGCUAAAGAAAGAAGGAGGAAAUUUUGAAAAGCAACCCUGGGGAGGGUUCAUUCCUAUGAAAACAUUAAAAAAAAAUUUUUUUUUAACUGAAUAUUCUCAAAAUUUGAUCAGUCCCAGUCCAUCUCUCCACUCCCACCGAAUUGCCCCCUACCUCCCCUCGUCAGAGCAUAAACUACAGAGUUACAGUCUCCAGAUUUGGUGUAUCGCUUCCUGCCCCCGCCUCCCCCUCCCCGCCCAGUUCUCGGUCCUCUAUUGAAACACCUCGCCCAGGCGAGCGCCCUGCAGCUCACAUUUCCCCCCCUGGCUCGAUGGUGCUACGGAAGCUGCAGCCUGACUCCACUUCCAAUGGUCGUCUCCAUGUUCCUUUCAGCUGGUCCUAUAGUCCCCCUUCCUCAGGAAUGUCUUCCCAGGGAAACAACACAGACUGCAGAAACCCUGUCCCGAUGGAUGCUAAAGCCAGCUGCGAAGUGGAAACAAAGGACACCAUCACCUGAAGACAUCUCUCCUGCCAGUCGACACACCCACACGCUGCAGUUUCAGCCAGUAGCAUCUCAGAGCAAGAGGCAAGCUUUUCAAGAAACAGAAACCCUUAAGAAAGCUAUCUAGAUUUCGAAUGAGCAAGGACUUUCCCUUCCUCGUGUGUAUUCCUCUGUUUGUAUUUAAAUUCUGUGUGACAUUCAUUUUUAAAAAAAUUUUUUUUUCUAGUAUGACUAUGCUUAUGAAUACACUAAUUUUUAAAAUAGAAAAUUGUUCAUGCCAGAGGUCGAUUGCAUGUUAGCCACACACAGAGUUUGACCUUAAAAGAAUGACUUAAAGAAUAUUGAGUUCUUUUGCAAUCACAGAAUAGUAGGAGGCAAUACAAAGGAUAAAAUGAUGGUGGGAACUCAGAAUGUGUCAUCAAGUACAGUACCCACUGACACCAAACAACCAACCUUUUUAUCAGGCACGCUAGGCUCUGUGAGACAUGGUCACUGCCUCUAAGGAGUUUAAACCUAGUUAAACAGAAGCAUGUAAACUUUUGAAAAGAGAAGUAACAGAUCAAGUCCAUUUAUAAGAGCAAAAUGAAAGACAGAAGCAAGGAGCUCAGAGGAAGUCCGCUUAGGCGGGGCAAACUGGUCUGUCUAGGGAAGAAAGUUCCCAAAGGAAGGAAAUACAAUGUGAAUUUUAAAGGAUGUUAAAGAUUUAGAUAAAUGGGAAGGAAGAGGAAAAUAGAAUCCUUUCUAUAGAUGCAAUAUUGUGAGCAAAGUCAGAGAGGAAGGCAUCCACCUGGUGAUUUAAGGAAAUUAGGAAUGUACCGGUCCAGUUGACUAAAUCCCAGACUUCCACUGCCAAUCUAUAUGUACAUAUAUGGUGAAGACUUUACACGCAUACUUCCCCUUGCCCACCUCAGGUGUAGACCAGAAUUAUAAUCAUAUUUCUUCCAUUAAAAUAAGUGAGCAUGAUUGAUGAUAGUAUGAGGAUCUGUGAUUUUUCUGUUAGCCUAAUAACAGUGGAUAUUUAUUGAAUUCUCCCUACAUGUUAAGCAUUUUAUAUAGUAAUUCUCUUAAGCUUCACAACAACCCUGCAAAACAGAUAUUAUUUUGUAUUUCCAUUUUACAUAAAGAAACCUAAGGUUUAAGUAACUUGCCAAACUGCCACAUACAGGGUUCACAAUCAGGACUGUGAUUUCAAAGCUCAUGAUCUAAGGCAAUAAGCCACAGUGUUGCAACCAACUUUGUAAUUUUGCCACUUCUAUAUUCCUUGAUAUUUUUCUAUGGUAGACACAUAGCUAUUUUCUUUAAUUAUCUUCUCAAAAUUUUCAGUUUUCUGGUUGAACUAGCUUGGUGGAAUGUAUUUUCAUGACAGAAAUGGAAGCUACUGGGGAACAGAGUUUAUCAGCAUUUUAAGCUUUUUUUGGACCAGACUCUGAGGAGACUGUUAGCUUUGGUCAGCAUGAAAUCUCAACUUCUUGAGAACAAAAAUAGGGGGUGGGGAGAGCUUAAAGGUCAUCGGUUGCAAUGUUCUUUCCUACAGAUGUGAUAAACCUGUAAAGAUACAGUGACUUAGAGAAGAUCGCUCAUUUGAGUAUGACAGAAGUAGACCCAGAAACCAUGCCCUCAGAGGCUCUUGAACUACACCACCCUGCCCAAAGGAAGCAUGAGCUUGCAUUUCACCAAUGGAAACAUUCUAUCUGGGUGAUCAAGGAGCGCCAUACCAAGUACAUGGCUUCACUUUUGGCUACCUCUUUGGCUUUUCACUUCAAUGUGAAAAAUAGAUAGUUAUGAACUGACAUCUUUAGUUUCAAAAACUAUCAAUGGUCCAGCCGCAAAGAACACACAGUAGCCCAAGUUAUGUGUACAAUGUCUUCAAUGAUAUUAAGUUACUUGGCAUUCUUCCUUCACCUAAACCAAUCAGAUCUUCUAAUGAGCAUUUUCUUAACCAAUUUUAUGCACAGUAUAUAUUCAUAAGAGUUUCUGCAUGAAUGUUUAAACGUGUCUGUUUUGAUAGUCUUUAUGGUUUUUGAAAAUAUAAAUGGUCAUUUGCUAUUUUAAUUGUCAGUUAUCCAUAUAACUAACCCAAGAAAACUUCAGCCAUAAAAAACUAGAAUUAAGGAAAUCUUCAUCUUCUAUACUAGCCCCUUUGCCUUUAGUUGGCACUUAGUAAUAAUUAAUAAAGUGGUCUACUGAAGAAUACAGAGGUUCAAAACGCAAUUUUGUCUUGAAGGAGUCAGCUAAACUGUGUCUACUUGAGAGCAAGCAUCUGGAUGUUUGGAAGGACCUGAAUAUUUGACUGUUGUAAAUUUCCAUUUAGCUCUCCGGGUUUGUCACACUUAGACGUCCUGGUGGCUCAGGUCAUCCUGUUUUCAAAAUGAUGAUCGUUGGCCAUCUCUCACACAGUGCUCAUUAAGUGAGUUCAUAAAUAAACAGGUUGUUUUCUUUUAUAAGCAUAGCCAAGCACAAAAUGUGACUCUGUUGACAUUUUAUGAGACUUUGUCAUAUGUCCCCUGAACCCCCAAUAAAAGCAAUGUUGCAUCAACUGUGAA